rnacentral:rRNA from 1 species
UGGGGAAUAUUGGACAAUGGGCGAAAGCCUGAUCCAGCCAUGCCGCGUGAGUGAAGAAGGCCUUCGGGUUGUAAAGCUCUUUCGCAAGGGAAGAAAACUUACCUACUAAUACUAGGUGAGGUUGACGGUACCUUGAUAAGAAGCACCGGCUAACUACGUGCCAGCAGCCGCGGUAAUACGUAGGGUGCGAGCGUUAAUCGGAAUUACUGGGCGUAAAGCGUGCGCAGGCGGUUCGACAAGUCUGAUGUGAAAUCCCCGGGCUCAACCUGGGAACUGCGUUGGAAACUGUCGGGCUAGAGUGUAGAAGAGGGGGGUAGAAUUCCACGUGUAGCAGUGAAAUGCGUAGAGAUGUGGAGGAAUACCGAUGGCGAAGGCAGCCCCCUGGGCUAACACUGACGCUCAUGCACGAAAGCGUGGGGAGCAAA